rnacentral:lncRNA from 1 species
ACGAAUACAAAUUUCGCAUUGCUUAGAAUCAAAAUCACUACUAGAAAAAUCCGAAAACUGCAACAUCUUCAAAGCUUUAGAGGAAGGAUGUCCUAGACGUUAAUGCCACAGCUGAGUAGAUGAUGAGCUUGUGGUUGUCAUCGCCACUGCUAUUUCCACUCCUCUAAAAAAAUACAAACCGUGCUGCUGCCUACCAGCUCCAAUCAGCAUCUUUGUGGUGCGGUCCUGAAUAAUACAGACUUUAU